AACGAUUCGUCAAACGACGUCAACGACUCGUCGGACCAGAUAACGGUGCCACCCUCAAGGCACUCGAAUUGCUCACAAAUUGUUACAUUCUGGUGCAGGGAAAUACGGUUAGCGUGAUGGGACCGCUCAAGGGUAUGAAGCAGG
rnacentral:ribozyme from 1 species